UGGCCGGGAUAGCUCAGCUGGUAGAGCAGAGGACU
rnacentral:tRNA from 1 species